rnacentral:rRNA from 1 species
AACGAACGCUGGCGGCAUGCCUAACACAUGCAAGUCGAACGAUGCCUUCGGGCAUAGUGGCGCACGGGUGCGUAACGCGUGGGAAUCUGCCUUUCGGUUCGGAAUAACUCAGGGAAACUUGAGCUAAUACCGGAUAAUGUCGCAAGACCAAAGAUUUAUCACCGAAAGAUGAGCCCGCGUAGGAUUAGCUAGUUGGUGAGGUAAAGGCUCACCAAGGCGACGAUCCUUAGCUGGUCUGAGAGGAUGAUCAGCCACACUGGGACUGAGACACGGCCCAGACUCCUACGGGAGGCAGCAGUGGGGAAUAUUGGACAAUGGGCGAAAGCCUGAUCCAGCAAUGCCGCGUGAGUGAUGAAGGCCUUAGGGUUGUAAAGCUCUUUUACCCGGGAAGAUAAUGACGGUACCGGGAGAAUAAGCCCCGGCUAACUCCGUG